rnacentral:rRNA from 1 species
UACGUAGGCAGCGAGCGUUGUUCGGAGUUACUGGGCGUAAAGCGUGCGUAGGUGGUUGUCUAAGUUUGGUGUGAAAUCUCCUGCUUAACUGGGAGGGUGCGCCGAAAACUGGGUGACUGGAGUGUCGGAGAGGUAAGCGGAAUUCCAGGUGUAGCGGUGAAAUGCGUAGAUAUCUGGAGGAACACCGGUGGCGAAGGCGGCAUCCUGGACCGGGAUUGACACUGAGGCGCGAAAGCCAAGGGGAGCAAACGGG